GACGAACGCUGGCGGCGUGCUUAACACAUGCAAGUCGAACGGAAAGGCCCUGCUUUUGUGGGGUGCUCGAGUGGCGAACGGGUGAGUAACACGUGAGUAACCUGCCCUUGACUUUGGGAUAACUUCAGGAAACUGGGGCUAAUACCGGAUAGGAGCUCCUGCUGCAUGGUGGGGGUUGGAAAGUUUCGGCGGUUGGGGACGGACUCGCGGCUUAUCAGCUUGUUGGUGGGGUAGUGGCUUACCAAGGCUUUGACGGGUAGCCGGCCUGAGAGGGUGACCGGCCACAUUGGGACUGAGAUACGGCCCAGACUCCUACGGGAGGCAGCAGUGGGGAAUAGUGCACAAUGGGCGGAAGCCUGAUGCAGCAACGCCGCGUGCGGGAUGACGGCCUUCGGGUUGUAAACCGCUUUCGCCUGUGACGAAGCGUGAGUGACGGUAAUGGGUAAAGAAGCACCGGCUAACUACGUG
rnacentral:rRNA from 1 species